UACGUAGGGUGCGAGCGUUGUCCGGAAUUACUGGGCGUAAAGAGCUCGUAGGUGGUUUGUCGCGUCGUCCGUGAAAACUCACAGCUCAACUGUGGGCGUGCGGGCGAUACGGGCAGACUGGAGUACUGCAGGGGAGACUGGAAUUCCUGGUGUAGCGGUGGAAUGCGCAGAUAUCAGGAGGAACACCGGUGGCGAAGGCGGGUCUCUGGGCAGUAACUGACGCUGAGGAGCGAAAGCGUGGGGAGCGAACAGG
rnacentral:rRNA from 1 species